rnacentral:rRNA from 1 species
GACGAACGCUGGCGGCGUGCUUAACACAUGCAAGUCGAACGCAGUGGCGAACGGGUGAGUAAUACGUGGGUAACCUGCCCUCCUUUUUGGAAUAAGCCUUGGAAACGGGAUCUAAUACCGAAUAAAUGGGGAUGGGCUAGCGGCCUAUCCGCGUGUUGGUGGGGUAAUGGCUUACCAAGGCGUUGACGGGUAGCCGGCCUGAGAGGGUGACCUGCGACAGUGGGACGGAGAUAAGGCCCAGGCUCCGCAGGGGUGCAGCAGUGUGGGAUAUUGAACAAUGUGCGAAAGCCUGAUGCAGCGACGCUGCGUGGGGGAUGAAGGCUUUCGGGUUGUAAACCUCUGUAGCUAUCGAAAGGGUAGGUAGAGAAGAAGCGCCGGCUAACUACGUGCCAGCAGCCGCGGUAAUUC